AACGAACGCUGGCGGCAUGCCUAACACAUGCAAGUCGAACGAGACCUUCGGGUCUAGUGGCGCACGGGUGCGUAACGCGUGGGAACCUGCCUUUAGGUUCGGAAUAACUCAGAGAAAUUUGAGCUAAUACCGGAUGAUGUCUUCGGACCAAAGAUUUAUCGCCUUUAGAUGGGCCCGCGUAAGAUUAGCUAGUUGGUGGGUAAAGGCCUACCAAGGCGACGAUCUUUAGCUGGUCUGAGAGGAUGAUCAGCCACACUGGGACUGAGACACGGCCCAGACUCCUACGGGAGGCAGCAGUGGGGAAUAUUGGACAAUGGGCGAAAGGCCUGAUCCAGCAAUGCCGCGUGAGUGAUGAA
rnacentral:rRNA from 1 species